GUGUGCUUUCCCAAGUUCUUCCCAUUUUAGGGAAUGUUAAAGAUCAACACCGGCCAAUUUUUGCAAAUGCUUUCAGGUGUUGGUGUCAAGCCUGUUGGCAAUACAGUGUGGAGUACCCUCUUUCAUCAAUUCUUGAUAGUGAUGUCACGUCGUUUCUAAAUUCUGCCUUUGAGUUAUUAUUGCAAAAUUGGGCAACUUCACGUGAUCUUAAGGUUUGCAAUUGUGAAUUACAACAUCAUUAAUAUUAC